UUUCCCUUUUCCCUAACAAGCCUGAAGAAGGGUCUCGACCCGAAACGUCACCCAUUCCUUUUCUACUGAAAUGCUGCCCGACCCGCUAAGUUACUCAAGCUUUCUGCGUCUAUCU